rnacentral:piRNA from 1 species
UGCUCUGGUGCAUACCGCUGCUGAGGGAC